CCUACGGGAGGCAGCAGUGGGGAAUAUUGCACAAUGGGCGCAAGCCUGAUGCAGCGACGCCGCGUGAGGGAUGACGGCCUUCGGGUUGUAAACCUCUUUCAGCAGGGACGAAGCGCAAGUGACGGUGCCUGCAGAAGAAGCACCGGCCAACUACGUGCCAGCAGCCGCGGUAAUACGUAGGGUGCAAGCGUUGUCCGGAAUUACUGGGCGUAAAGAGCUCGUAGGCGGUUUGUCGCGUCGUCUGUGAAAACCAGCAGCUCAACUGUUGGCUUGCAGGCGAUACGGGCAGACUUGAGUAUUUCAGGGGAGACUGGAAUUCCUGGUGUAGCGGUGAAAUGCGCAGAUAUCAGGAGGAACACCGGUGGCGAAGGCGGGUCUCUGGGAAAUAACUGACGCUGAGGAGCGAAAGCGUGGGUAGCGAACAGGAUUAGAUACCCUGGUAGUCCACGCCGUAAACGGUAGGGCGCUAGGUGUGGGUUUACCUUCCACGGGAUCCGUGCCGUAGCUAACGCAUUAAGCGCCCCGCCUGGGGAGUACGGCCGCAGGCUAAAACUCAAAGGAAUUGACGG
rnacentral:rRNA from 1 species